GGAGCUAGAGCCAUGAGAACUCAGUCCAACGUGGAAAAAAAUUGACAUAAUUCUUGGGAAGUAAGAAGGGAAGGAGGUCUCCUAAAUAAAAACAAAGAGAGAGAGAGAGAGAGAGAGUAUUUUUUCCACAAAGACCGACCAAGCACGUCAACCACCAAAAGUCUUUCUCAUUAAAUCACGCGGGGCUUUCAUAUUGAUUUUAGAUAUAGAUUUUCUCUUAUGUGGAGGUUAGCACGGUUUGUGUUUUUAUUAUCUUUUUUUACUUUUU
rnacentral:lncRNA from 1 species